UCGGAUUGUAAACUCCUGUUGAUCGGGAAGAAUGGCCUCCGGGUUAAUACUCCGGGGGAAUGACGGUACCGAUUGAGGAAGCCACGGCUAACUCUGUGCCAGCAGCCGCGGUAAUACAGAGGUGGCAAGCGUUGUUCGGAAUUACUGGGCGUAAAGGGCGCGUAGGCGGUUGCCUAAGUCGGACGUGAAAUCCCCAAGCUUAACUUGGGAACUGCGUCCGAUACUGGGUAACUUGAGUUCGGGAGAGGAAUGUGGAAUUCCAGGUGUAGCGGUGAAAUGCGUAGAUAUCUGGAGGAACACCGGUGGCGAAAGCAGCAUUCUGGACCGAAACUGACGCUGAGGCGCGAAAUCCAGGGGAGCAAACGGGAUUAGAUACCCCGGUAGUCCUGGCCCUAAACUAUGAGUGCUUGGUGUGGCGGGUAUCGAUCCCUGCCGUGCCGAACCUAACGCGUUAAGCACUCCGCCUGGGGAG
rnacentral:rRNA from 1 species